rnacentral:rRNA from 1 species
CGGAUCGCAGGCUGCAACCCGCCCUGCGUGAAGCCGGAAUUGCUAGUAAUCGCGGAUCAGCAUGCCGCGGUGAAUACGUUCCCGGGCCUUGUACACACCGCCCGUCACACCAUGAGAGCCGGGGGGACCCGAAGUCCGUAGCCUAACCGAAAGGGGGGCGCGGCCGAAGGUAAAACUGGUGAUUGGGGUGAAGUCGUAACAAGGUAAC